GACGAACGCUGGCGGCGUGCUUAACACAUGCAAGUCGAACGGAAAGGCCCCUUUGGGGGUACUCGAGUGGCGAACGGGUGAGUAACACGUGAGUAACCUGCCCUUGACUUCGGGAUAACUUCAGGAAACUGGGGCUAAUACCGGAUAGGAAUCCUUGCUGCAUGGUGGGGGUUGGAAAGCUUCGGCGGUUUUGGAUGGACUCGCGGCUUAUCAGCUUGUUGGUGGGGUAGUGGCUUACCAAGGCUUUGACGGGUAGCCGACCUGAGAGGGCGACCGGCCACAUUGGGACUGAGAUACGGCCCAGACUCCUACGGGAGGCAGCAGUGGGGAAUAUUGCACAAUGGGCGGAAGCCUGAUGCAGCAACGCCGCGUGCGGGAUGACGGCCUUCGGGUUGUAAACCGCUUUCAGCAGGGGCGAAGCUUGUGGUGACGGUACCUGCAGAAGAAGCACCGGCUAACUACGUG
rnacentral:rRNA from 1 species